AUUCCAGCUCCAAUAGCGUAUAUUAAAGUUGUUGCAGUUAAAAAGCUCGUAGUUGAAUUUCUGUACAGUCCCGGUUCUGGCUUCGGUCAAGCCGUGGAUUGUGCAUCCGCUUGCAAAUCUAGCUCGGCCUUCACUGGUCGACUAGGGGAGUAAGCCCUUUACUUUGAAAAAAUUAGAGUGUUUCAGGCAGGCAAUGGCUCGAAUACAUUAGCAUGGAAUAAUGGAAUAGGACUUUUGUCCAUUUGGUUGGUUAUUGGACAUGAGUAAUGAUUAAAAGGGACAGUUGGGGGCAUUAGUAUUUAAUAGUCAGAGGUGAAAUUCUUGGAUUUAUUAAAGACCAACUUAUGCGAAAGCAUUUGCCAAGGAUGUUUUCAUUA
rnacentral:rRNA from 1 species